UGGGUGAUCUGCCCUGCACUUCGGGAUAAGCCUGGGAAACUGGGUCUAAUACCGGAUAUGACUCCUCAUCGCAUGGGUGGGGGUGGAAAGCUUUUUGUGGUUUUGGAUGGACUCGCGGCCUAUCAGCUUGUUGGUGAGGUAAUGGCUCACCAAGGCGACGACGGGUAGCCGGCCUGAGAGGGUGACCGGCCACACUGGGACUGAGAUACGGCCCAGACUCCUACGGGAGCAG
rnacentral:rRNA from 1 species